rnacentral:rRNA from 1 species
AGCGAACGCUGGCGGCAGGCUUAACACAUGCAAGUCGAGCGGGCACUUUCGGGUGUCCGCGGCGGACGGGUGAGUAACGCGUGGGAACGUGCCCUCUGGUUCGGAAUAACUCAGGGAAACUUGAGCUAAUACCGGAUACGCCCUUUUGGGGAAAGGCUUGCUGCCGGAGGAUCGGCCCGCGUCUGAUUAGCUAGUUGGUGAGGUAACGGCUCACUAAGGCGACGAUCAGUAGCUGGUCUGAGAGGAUGAUCAGCCACACUGGGACUGAGACACGGCCCAGACUCCUACGGGAGGCAGCAGUGGGGAAUAUUGGACAAUGGGCGCAAGCCUGAUCCAGCCAUGCCGCGUGAGUGAUGAAGGCCUUAGGGUUGUAAAGCUCUUUUAUCCGGGACGAUAAUGACGGUACCGGAGGAAUAAGCCCCGGCUAACUUCGUG